rnacentral:snRNA from 1 species
UUCAUUUUGGUAAUAAACCC